rnacentral:rRNA from 1 species
GAUGAACGCUAGCGGCAGGCUUAAUACAUGCAAGACGAACGGUAACUGUUGUAGCAAUACAAUAGCUAGAGUGUCGUACGGGUGCGUAACACGUAUGCAACCUACUUUGUACAGGCGGAUAGCUCGGGGAAACUCGAAUUAACCCGCCAUGAGAUCAUAGUGUGGCAUCACAUAGUGAUUAAAACUCAGGUGGUACAAGAUGGGCAUGCGUCUGAUUAGUUAGUUGGCAGUGUAAAGGACUACCAAGACGAUGAUCAGUAGGGGACCUGAGAGGGU